rnacentral:rRNA from 1 species
UACAGGGGGGGCAAGCGUUGUUCGGAAUUACUGGGCGUAAAGGCCAGUAGGCGGCCGAUUAAGUCCGACGUGAAAUCCCCAGGCUUAACCUGGGAACUGCGUCGGAUACUGAUGGGCUUGAAUUCGGGAGAGGGAUGCAGAAUUCCAGGUGUAGCGGUGAAAUGCGUAGAUAUCUGGAGGAAUACCGGUGGCGAAGGCGGCAUCCUGGACCGACAUUGACGCUGAACGGCGAAAGCUAGGGGAGCAAACGGG